rnacentral:rRNA from 1 species
UGAGGAAUAUUGGUCAAUGGGCGGAAGCCUGAACCAGCCAUGCCGCGUGAAGGAUGACUGCCCUAAGGGUUGUAAACUUCUUUUGUACGGGGGUAAACUCAGAUACGUGUAUUUGAUUGAAAGUACUGUACGAAUAAGCAACGGCUAACUCCGUGCCAGCAGCCGCGGUAAUACGGAGGUUGCAAGCGUUAUCCGGAUUUAUUGGGUUUAAAGGGUGCGUAGGCGGGCUUUUAAGUCAGCGGUGAAAGACUGUCGCUUAACGAUAGCAUUGCCGUUGAUACUGAUCGUCUUGAGUACAUUUGAGGUGGGCGGAAUGUGUAGUGUAGCGGUGAAAUGCUUAGAUAUUACACAGAACACCAAUUGCGAAGGCAGCUCACUAAACUGUAACUGACGCUGAGGC